GCUGGGAGUGGUGGCACACACCAGUAAUCCCAGCAGCUCAGGAAGCUGAGACAGGAGGAUUGUGAGUUCAAAGCCAGCCUUAGCAAUUUAGCGAUGCCCUAAGAUCCUGUCUCUA
rnacentral:sRNA from 1 species